AGAGGCCGGGAGUCAGAGGGCGUGGGCUAAGCUGCGCGCUCGAGAGGGAAACAGCCCAGACCGCCCGCUAAGGCCCCCAAGUCCGUGCCGAGUGGCAAAGGAUGUGCGUUUGCCUAGACAACCAGGAUGUUGGCUUAGAAGCAGCCAUGCAUUUAAAGAGUGCGUAACAGCUCACUGGUCAAGUGGACAUGCGCCGACAAUUCACGGGGCUAAGCACGGCGCCGAAGCGGCGGGCUGAUGUAUUUCAGCGGUAGGGGAGCCUUCCGCGCAGGGGCGAAGCCGAGGGGCGACCCUCGGUGGACCGCGCGGAAGCGAGGAUGCUGGCAUGAGUAACGAGAGCGGCGCGGGAAACGCCGCCGCCGUAAGCCCAAGGGUUCCUGGGCAACGCUAAUCGUCCCAGGGUCAGUCGGGAGCUAAGGCGAGGCCGGGAGGCGUAGCCGAUGCGCAACAGGCGGACAUUCCUGUACCGCCUGCGGGCCGCUAUCACCGAAGGGGCGACGGAGAAGGGUAGCCGGGCGGGGUUCUGGACGUCCCCGUGAAAGCGCGUAGGGCGGCGAGCAUGGAAA
rnacentral:rRNA from 1 species